rnacentral:rRNA from 1 species
GACGAACGCUGGCGGCGUGCCUAAUACAUGCAAGUCGAGCGGACCGGAUUGGGGCUUGCCUUGAUUCGGUCAGCGGCGGACGGGUGAGUAACACGUGGGCAACCUGCCCGCAAGACCGGGAUAACUCCGGGAAACCGGAGCUAAUACCGGAUAACACCGAAGACCGCAUGGUCUUCGGUUGAAAGGCGGCCUUUGGGCUGUCACUUGCGGAUGGGCCCGCGGCGCAUUAGCUAGUUGGUGAGGUAACGGCUCACCAAGGCGACGAUGCGUAGCCGGCCUGAGAGGGUGACCGGCCACACUGGGACUGAGACACGGCCCAGACUCCUACGGGAGGCAGCAGUAGGGAAUCUUCCGCAAUAGGCGAAAGCCUGACGGAGCGACGCCGCGUGAGCGAAGAAGGCCUUCGGGUCGUAAAGCUCUGUUGUGAGGGACGAAGGAGCGUCGUUCGAAGAGGGCGGCGCGGUGACGGUACCUCACGAGAAAGCCCCGGCUAACUACGUG